rnacentral:rRNA from 1 species
AGUGCUAAUACCGCAUAACAACUUAGAUCACAUGAUCUUUGUUUAAAAGAUGGUUUUGCUAUCUCUUCUGGAUGGACCCGCGGCGUAUUAGCUAGUUGGUGAGGUAAUAGCUCACCAAGGCGAUGAUACGUAGCCGACCUGAGAGGGUAAUCGGCCACAUUGGGACGAGACACGGCCCAAACUCCUACGGGAGGCAGCAGUAGGGAAUCUUCCACAAUGGACGAAAGUCUGAUGGAGCAAUGCCGCGUGAGUGAAGAAGGUUUUCGGAUCGUAAAACUCUGUUGUUGAAGAAGAACAUAUGUGAUAGUAACUGUUCACGUACUGACGGUAUUCAACCAGAAAGCCACGGCUAACUACGUGCCAGCAGCCGCGGUAAUACGUAGGUGGCAAGCGUUGUCCGGAUUUAUUGGGCGUAGAGAAUGUAGGCGGUUUAUUAAGUUUGAAGUGAAAGCCCUCGGCUCAACCGAGGAAGUGCUUCGAAAACUGGUAAACUUGAGUGCAGAAGAGGAAGUGGAACUCCAUGUGUAGCGGUGGAAUGCGUAGAUAUAUGGAAGAACACCAGUGGCGAAGGCGGCUUUCUGGUCUGUAACUGACGCUUUGAGAUUCGAAAGCAUGGGUAGCAAACAGGGAUUAGAUACCCUGGUAGUCCAUGCCGUAAACGAUGAGUGCUAAGUGUUGGAGGGUUUCCGCCCUUCAGUGCUGCAGCUAACGCAUUAAGCACUCCGCCUGGGGAGUACGAUCGCAAGAUUGAAACUCAAAGGAAUUGACGGGGGCCCGCACAAGCGGUGGAGCAUGUGGUUUAAUUCGAAGCAACGCGAAGAACCUUACCAGGUCUUGACAUACCAUGAAAAGCUCAAGAUGAGUCUUUCCUUUCGGGGACAUGGAUACAGGUGGUGCAUGGUUGUCGUCAGCUCGUGUCGUGAGAUGUUGGGUUAAGUCCCGCAACGAGCGCAACCCUUAUUAUCAGUUGCCAGCAUUUAGUUGGGCACUCUGGUGAGACUGCCGGUGAUAAACCGGAGGAAGGUGGGGACGACGUCAAAUCAUCAUGCCCUUAUGACCUGG